rnacentral:rRNA from 1 species
GACGAACGCUGGCGGUGUGCUUAACACAUGCAAGUCGAACGGUAAGGCCCUUUCGGGGGUCCACGAGUGGCGAACGGGUGAGUAACACGUGAGUAACCUGCCCUCAUCUCUGGGAUAACAGUCGGAAACGGUUGCUAAUACUGGAUAUGAGCUUGCAAGGCAUCUUGUGGGUUGGAAAGAUUUUUUUUGGUUGGGGAUGGACUCGCGGCCUAUCAGCUUGUUGGUGAGGUAGUGGCUCACCAAGGCUUCGACGGGUAGCCGGCCUGAGAGGGCGACCGGCCACAUGGGGACUGAGAUACGGCCCAAACUCCUACGGGAGGCAGCAGUGGGGAAUAUUGCACAAUGGACGGAAGUCUGAUGCAGCAACGCCGCGUGCGGGAUGACGGCCUUCGGGUUGUAAACCGCUUUCAAUUGUGACGAAGCUUUUUUGUGACGGUAGCAGUAGAAGAAGCACCGGCUAACUACGUG